rnacentral:lncRNA from 1 species
UUUAAAACGUGGUUCACCAUAUACAUUUCCUUGAAAAAAUGUGUCUACUCUUGUGAUAUAGUUGUGGUUUGUUUAACCAGCAAUUUUCUGUAAGUUCUGAGUUUUAUUUAUAGGGCUCAGCUAUUAGAUCAUAGUUAUAGAGACAAUUUGGGAUUGAUGAGUAUUCAUUUGUAAAGGGGAAGGAAGUAUUUACUAGCAUGAAAUACGUAAUCCUAGACUUUUAAAUGAAGAUGAAGGGCUUAAUCUAAGUAUAGGAAAGUUAAACAAAUGCCAGAAAGAUUCGCGGGUGGAAUGUAAAUCCGUAUUCAACUCCAACUGUAACUUUCAGGCUAACUGUAAAUUAUGUUGUUUGUAAUAUAAUAAAUAUAAUUUAUUGAGUGUUUACUAUACUUCUGGCGCUGUUUUCAUCAUUUUGCACGAACUAACUCAUUGAAAGAUAUACCAGCUCUGUAAGGCAGGUGGUCAAAUUUUUACUCUUCAGAGAAAUUAACCUGAACAAGUUCUGCACAACCAACAUCAAAAAGGCAAAAAUAAAAGCCUGCAUCUAAAAAAAAAGGAGGGAAUAUAUGAAAGUUUGCAGGGCUGUUCCAUACUGCAUGGCAGAAUUCCAGGAUGUCUUUACGUUGAAUGGUGGUACCUUCAGAUCCUCUUAUCCAUCCAGCUCCCAGAAGUCCAGCCACCACUCCUCCUCCAUGCCUGAAAAGAAGACUAGAAAGUUUAAGGGAUUUUCACAUAUUUAUAUUUGAAAAUUCCCCCAAUGACCCAGCCAACUCACCCCGUAAUAAAACAGUGUGAGGUAGGGGCCCAAUUUCAUUGUUUUGCAUGUGGAUGUCCAGUUGUCCUAGUCCCAUUUGUUGAAAACACUUGCACUACUUUUUGUCUUUCUCUGUCCUUCCUCUGCUUGCUUCUGGAGGCAUACUCAGCUGUGGAAGUGCAUGACAGAAAGGGCACUAAAACAGUAGGUUUGUAGCCCCUCUUCUAGGAGCCAAUGGAAACUAGAGAGUGUCAGAGAUAUUUAAGAGAAGGCUAAUUCCCAAGCUAUAUGAAUCUAACUAUAAAAAAAUACAAAAGUUUUUAUAACAAAUCAGAGUAGAAGACGG